rnacentral:lncRNA from 1 species
GGGCUCUUAUUCUCCUCUGUCCUAGUCGUAUCGGCUCUGCAAAGAUCCCUUUCUCCUCCCCCUUUUCCAGGAGCUGGUUGUCUCCUGUGAUAAUUCACUGAGCUGCGAAGCAGGUUUAGCAAAGCAGGUAGGAGGUGAAUUCCCAGGAACGCUGGCAAGCUAGGGCAGACAAAGGCAGCAGAGAGCCCGGAGCUG